rnacentral:sRNA from 21 species
GUCAGGAACCCCACGGCUAUAGGUUCCGGAGGCUUGGAAUUUAGCCCCUACCUGACCAGCCUAAGUGGAUAGUGCACUACGUUAUACCCAAGAGUUCAAGUUCGUACAUGAA